rnacentral:rRNA from 1 species
UAUCUUAGUGGCGGACGGGUGAGUAACGCGUGGGUAACCUGCCCCAUACCGGGGGAUACCACCUGGAAACAGGUGCUAAUACCGCAUAAGCGCACGGGGGCGCAUGCUCCUGUGUGAAAAACUCCGGUGGUAUGGGAUGGACCCGCGUCUGAUUAGCCAGUUGGCAGGGUAACGGCCUACCAAAGCGACGAUCAGUAGCCGGCCUGAGAGGGUGGACGGCCACAUUGGGACUGAGACACGGCCCAAACUCCUACGGGAGGCAGCAG